rnacentral:tRNA from 1 species
GGUUGUGUAGUGUAGUGGUUAUCACUGCGGAUUCUGAUCAAGACGCGCAGACGUUCCGCCGACCUGGGUUCGACUCCCAGCACGACCU